UUUGCUCUCUCUCUCUCUCUCUCUCUCUCUCUCUCUGUGUGUGUGUGUGUGUCAGAGAGAGAGAGAGAGAGAGAGAGAGAGAGAGAAGU